rnacentral:lncRNA from 1 species
AAAAAAAAAAAAAAAGUUUAAGUAAGAAUAGUAACAAUUUUAGUUAUAGUAAUAUAUGCACAAAAAAUAAUUGUGAAUCUUUAAAAUCAGUUGGUAAUGAUAAGAACGACAAUUCAAUUAAUAACAAAGUGCAACACUAUGAAUCAAAUAAUUUAUAUGCAAUAAAUGAUAAUUCACCCUUUAGUUUGAACAACUAUUCUGUUUCUAAAAGUGAUUAUAGUCAUGUGGAAGAAAGUGAAAAAAGCAGCUUAAAACAUAUGAAUCGAUCAGAUUACUCUGAGUAUAAUAGCGAUGGUGAUAUGAACCCUACUGGUAACGAAUAUACAAUGAAUGAAAAGUAUGACCAUGAUUGUGAAGAUAUUUUUUCCAUUUCAACGUCUUCAGUCAUUUUUCGUCACAGUUUUAUGCAAGCUACAAAAAGAGAAGUAAUUAAACCAUACACAGAAUUAAAAAAAGAGAACAACGAAAGUGAUGGAAAUGAAAAAAUGCUCAUAAAUAAAAAUACCAAAUGCAUAAAACAAGAUCAAGUAUUAUAUGACGCGCUUUUUAUGGAAGAUGAUGAAGGUGAGAGUGGAGGUGAAGAUAAGGACGAUGGCAAGAAUGAUGGCAAGAAUGAUGGCGAGAAUGGUGGUAAGAAUGAUGGCGAGAAUGGUGGUAAGAACGAUGAAUCAGAUAAGAAAAAUAAAAAACAUGAAUACGAGCAUGUAGAGAAUGAAGUGGCAAGUGACACAAGUGAUGACAUGGUUGUUAGUAGUAAUAGCAAUGGAAGUAGUGAAAGUGAAUGUUAUAAUAACAAUACUUGUCACAGUAUUAUUCAUAAAAACAGAAACAGAAACGGAAACAACAGUAGCAGCUAUGGUAAUAAAAUUGACUCGUUGCAUAAAAAAGAAAACGGAACAAAAAAAAAAAAUAGUUUAUGUAUUUGUAAAGACCUUGAAAAAUAUAAAAUGCAAACUUUAAUUGAAAACGAACUAAUUAAUCAAUUUAAUAACGGCUCUGAUUUAUUAAAUUAUAAUAAUCAUUUGGUAGAAUUGAAUAAAAUUCUCAUCACUGGUAAUAAUGACAACCUUAGCUUUAGUAGUGGUAACGGAAACGGAAAUGGAAAUGGAAAUGGAAACAAGUGUAGCGAAACAAAAAAUACCUUGUGCAAUAAUAAUAAUUUGCUUUGGGCUAAUGAUGAUAUAGACGUUGGCAAGUUUUCUAAAAAAAUUGAUUGUUAUAUGCAACAUAUAUAUGAUAAUCAAAUUAAGCAUUUAAAUAAUAUAGUGACGAAUAUUUUUUCUUAAUUUUUUUUCUUCCUAUUUUUUUGUUUUUUUUUUUUUUUCUUUUUUUUUUUUUUUUUUUUUUUCCUAUUUUUUUGUUUUUUUUUUUUUCCUAUUUUUUUGUUUCUUAAUGUUGUUGUUUCAUUAUUUGUGUAUGUGCACAUGCAUAAUUUUGUUGUUUUAUUUAUUUAUUUUUUUAAAACUUUUUAAAAAUGUAAGUGUAUUAUUUUUUCUUUACUAU